rnacentral:rRNA from 1 species
GACGAACGCUGGCGGCGGGCUUAACACAUGCAAGUCGAACGGAAAGGCAGUGAUUGCAGGGUACUCGAGGGGGGAACGGGUGAGUAAGACGGGGGUGAUCUGGACUGCACUUCGGGAUAAGGGAGGGAAAAGGGGAAUAAAAGCGGAUAGGAGACAGUUUUAGUGGGAGGGAGGGAAAGAUUUUUCGGUGUAGGAUGAGCUAGCGGCCUAACAGCGUGUUGGGGGGGUAAUGGCCUAACAAGGCGGCGACGGGUAGCCGGCCUGAGAGGGUGGACGGCCCCCUUGGCACCUAGCUACGGCCCCGCCUCCUACGGGUGGCAGCAGUGCGGAAUAUUGCUCAAUCGGCGCCUUCCUGGUGCAGCCACGCCCCGUGUUGUAUGACGUCCUUCGGGUUGUAAACUCCUUUCGCUUGGGACGCAGCUUUUUGUGACGGUACCUAGAUAAGAAGCACCGGCUAACUACGUG